CGGACGGGUGAGUAACGCGUGGGUAACCGUGCCUCACACAGGGGAUAACAGUUGGAAACGGCUGCUAAUACCGCAUAAGCGCACAGUACCGCAUGGUACAGUGUGAAAAACUCCGGUGGUGUGAGAUGGACCCGCGUCUGAUUAGCUAGUUGGCAGGGCAACGGCCUACCAAGGCGACGAUCAGUAGCCGACCUGAGAGGGUGACCGGCCACAUUGGGACUGAGACACGGCCCAA
rnacentral:rRNA from 1 species